CCUAAUUUACCAAUAUAUCGUCGUUUUGUACGACAAAUAUAUAUCAAGGUAAUUUCUAUUUGUAUGUUAUACAUCUUUUAUAUUCAAAUAUUCCUCGAUAUAUGCUUCAAAUUUUGAAUUCCAGAAGAACGAACUAUUAAUCAAGCAAUUUUCAAAAGACUGCAUCUACACUUGCCUGUCGAUUGUGUAAUCGGCAUAACCACGAGCGGAGAAACAAAUGGAAACUCCAGUGCGAAUGAAACCCGGCGAAAAUAAGGUCCGCUGAGCACGGAUGAAUCGAUCGUGAGAAACACGCUUCCGAUGGCUACCUUGAUACUAGGCUAUACGACGGGGAAAACGCAACCAAAUCCGCUAGGUAGUUUUUACAUAAU